CGGUUGUACAGCACCUCAUUUUUUACAAUGUGGGCCAGUAACUAUUUCAUAUCACCUACUCUGACCACCUUCAGGGUUGUUAUGAGGCUCAAAGGAACUGCUGCUGUCUGUGAAAAAACAUGCUUUGCAAUUUAUGAAGCACUGGAUAAACAUCAGGAACAGUAUAAAAGCGUACUACUUCCUCAAGAAAUACUAGUUGAGUGCCUGUGUGUUGGGCACUGGCUAGAGAUAAGGGGCCUCCUAUGGACAGAAGUGCGGGCAAGGAGCUUUGUUCCUCCCCGAUGUCACCCUCCCACAGCCCACCUGCUAGCAGGCAAGAGAGUGGUGGAGGCCGGCAGGAAGGCAUGUACUGAACUGGGCCUCUGGUGGAAUGGCGUCACCCAUGCUGGGCUUGAUUCCACAUAUGGUAUCUGAGACUCACACAGUG
rnacentral:antisense_RNA from 1 species